rnacentral:rRNA from 1 species
UGGGGGAUAUUGCACAAUGGGCGAAAGCCUGAUGCAGCGACGCCGCGUGGGGGAUGAAGGCCUUCGGGUUGUAAACUUCUUUUGCUCUGAACAAGGCAUGCCUUUGGGGUGUGUUGAGUGUAGGGGUUGAUUAGCGCCGGCUAACUACGUGCCAGCAGCCGCGGUAAUACGUAGGGCGCGAGCGUUGUCCGGAAUUAUUGGGCGUAAAGGGCUUGUAGGUGGCUGGUUGCGUCUGUCGUGAAAGCUCAUGGCUUAACUGUGGGUUUGCGGUGGGUACGGGCUGGCUUGAGUGCAGUAGGUGAGGCUGGAAUUCCUGGUGUAGCGGUGGAAUGCGCAGAUAUCAGGAGGAAUACCGGUGGCGAAGGCGGGUCUCUGGGCUGUUACUGACGCUGAGGAGCGAAAGCGUGGGGAGCGAACAGG